AGAGUUGACCAGGCAAUCGCUAUUGUCCUGCUUAUGGCAGUGAUGGUAGAGGAAAGUCCGGGCUCCAUAGGGCAGAGUGCCAGGUAACGCCUGGGAGGCGUGAGCCUACGGAAAGUGCAACAGAAAAUAAACCGCCAGUUCGCGCUAGCGUGAGUUGGUAAGGGUGAAAUGGUGCGGUAAGAGCGCACCGCAUGGGUGGCAACAUUCCAUGGCUAGGUAAACCCCACUUGGAGCAAGGCCAAAUAGGGAUCCAUUAGGUGUGGCUCGCACCGGAUCCGGGUAGGCCGCUUGAGGUAUGUGGUGACACAUAUCCCAGAUGAAUGGUUGUCCACGACAGAACCCGGCUUAUCGGCCGACUCACCAA
rnacentral:RNase_P_RNA from 1 species